AGCGAACGCUGGCGGCAGGCCUAACACAUGCAAGUCGAACGAACCUUUCGGGGUUAGUGGCGGACGGGUGAGUAACACGUGGGAACGUGCCUUUAGGUUCGGAAUAACUCAGGGAAACUUGUGCUAAUACCGAAUGUGCCCUUCGGGGGAAAGAUUAAUCGCCUUUAGAGCGGCCCGCGUCUGAUUAGCUAGUUGGUUGAGGUAAUGGCUCACCAAGGCGACGAUCAGUAGCUGGUCUGAGAGGAUGAUCAGCCACAUUGGGACUGAGACACGGCCCAAACUCCUCCGGGAGGCAGCAGUGGGGAAUCUUGCGCAAUGGGCGAAAGCCUGACGCAGCCAUGCCGCGUGAAUGAUGAAGGUCUUAGGAUUGUAAAAUUCUUUCACCGGGGACGAUAAUGACGGUACCCGGAGAAGAAGCCCCGGCGAACUUCG
rnacentral:rRNA from 1 species